GACAGGUGGUGCAUGGUUGUCGUCAGCUCGUGUCGUGAGAUGUUGGUUAAGUCCCGCAACGAGCGCAACCCCUAUUGUUAGUUGCCAUCAUUCAGUUGGGCACUCUAGCGAGACUGCCGGUAAUAAACCGGAGGAAGGUGGGGAUGACGUCAAAUCAUCAUGCCCCUUAUGACCUGGGCUACACACGUGCUACAAUGGUUGGUACAACGAGUUGCGAGUCGGUGACGGCGAGCUAAUCUCUUAAAGCCAAUCUCAGUUCGGAUUGUAGGCUGCAACUCGCCUACAUGAAGUCGGAAUCGCUAGUAAUCGCGGAUCAGCACGCCGCGGUGAAUACGUUCCCGGGCCUU
rnacentral:rRNA from 1 species